GACGAGACAACGUUCGAGCAUGCCUCGACCCACGUACCCUUGACCUCAAAUCGGGUGAGACUACCCGCUGAACUUAAGCAUAUCAAUAAGCGGAGGAAAAGAAACUAACAAGGAUUCCCCUAGUAACUGCGAGUGAAGCGGGAAAAGCUCAAAUUUAAAAUCUGGCGGUCCUUGGCCGUCCGAGUUGUAAUUUAGAGAAGCGUCUUCCGCGCCGGACCGUGCACAAGUCUCCUGGAAUGGAGCGUCGUAGAGGGUGAGAAUCCCGUCUUUGGUGCGGAUCCCCGGUGCUUCUGUGAUGCGCUCUCGAAGAGUCGAGUUGUUUGGGAAUGCAGCUCAAAAUGGGUGGUGAACUCCAUCUAAAGCUAAACAUUGGCGAGAGACCGAUAGCGAACAAGUACCGUGAGGGAAAGGUGAAAAGCACUUUGGAAAGAGAGUGAAACAGUACGUGAAAUUGUUGAAAGGGAAACGCUUGAAGUCAGUCGCGUCGGCCGAGACUCAGCCUUGCCUUGGCUUGGUGUACUUCUCGGCCCGACGGGUCAGCGUCAAUUUCGCCCCUCGGAUAAUGGCAAGGGAAAGGUGGCACCUUUGCGGGUGUGUUAUAGUCUCCUGUCGCAUACGUGGNUCNNAUUGAGGAACUCGGCGUGCACCAC
rnacentral:rRNA from 1 species